AAGAAAGUAUAAAUUGAAGCUGCUAACUUUGAUUUGGGGGCACACUCCCUUUCUUC
rnacentral:tRNA from 1 species